AUAGAAUACAAAUCAUUUACAAAGAGAAGCCCACACGAAAAAGUGGUUUAUAGUUAAAGUGAACAUUAAAAAAAGUGAAGUGAAGAUAUUAAAAAAAUAUUAGUGCAUCAGCUAACAAUUAGAUUAGUUAAUCAGAUUGUAUUUAUUAGAAACUGGCGACUGUUGAUGGUUUAUACAUCCAUACAAACAUUACUGGGAAAACAUUGAAGAAGAAAAUUAACUUAAAAUAUUGUCAAGAUGCAGCUUUACUCUGGGCCCUACAUGGGUAUUUUGUGCCUUUCCAAAAAGUUGUGAGGAAAGACAACGAGGGAAAAAAAACGUUCACGAGAUUUACCAUCAAGGACUCCCAGAAUUCGUUUGUUUGGGUCGGUGCUUGAUUUACUUGAUAAUAAAUGAACUUAACUGCAAAAAAUAAAAAUUGUAAAAUUAAAUUAA